GCCUUUAUAGCUCAGUGGUAGAGCGCAGCACUUGUAGUCCUAGGAAGACAACAUACAGUCGACCGAAGACAAAACACAAAACACAAGACAUGCUGAGGUCCAUCGUUCAAUCCGGUGUGGAGGCA